UUAUAUAUCUUCAUUGCUACAUGCGUGGUUCGCCUUGCGUGAUCUUAAUGCUUACCAUUCCACACCCAUUCACACAUUCACAACCACCCACCCCUUCAAUUCAUUCAUUCCCUCGUCCUUACUUGUUUCCUUUCCCCACCCUCUAACAUACACACAUAUACUAUUUAACCAUCAUAUAUAGACCCCUUUAUUCUUCUUUCUACAACAAGUAUAUUUUUUUUUUCAUUUUUUGUGCAUUCUCUACCAAGGGGAGUGGAAAGUGUUCUGUUGCCAAACAAAACAAAGCCACAAGUGUUUUUAGCUUUCAACGUUUAAUUUGAGCGAAUUAAUAAGCCAAAAUGGUGAUGCUGGGUUUGGGAAGGCUUGUAGUGACUCUAAAAUCCAAAAUAAGGUCUUUGAAACUGAAGAAACCUUACGAUAAGAUGGAGAAGAGUGACAGCAUGAGAGUGGAGAUAAGAAGCAGGAAGACCAGAAAGCUUAUUGAAGAGACCCUCAAAAUUGCUGAUUCACCUAAGUCCAAAACCUUCAACUUAUGAUGGUAUACAUAUGCUACCUUAUGUUUAAUUGUAUGUAUUGGUAAAACCCUUCAAUAAUAAAGGUUCUGCUCUUCAUACAUAUGUUGCUUAAAUUUCAAUGAGGUAAUUAGCUUUAUCCUUUUUAACUUUUAGGCUCUUAGCCUUUCCAUCAAUCUUAUGCACCCACCACAUACCAAGUCAGUGCUAAUUAUGUUGUGCAUAAUAUAAAUCUAGAACUUUGUUGUUAUCUUAGAUUGGUAUGAAGCAUGCAAAGACUUUGCAGAA